AAGAAACCAACAGGGGAUUGCCUCAGUAACGGCGAGUGAAGCGGCAAAAGCUCAAAUUUGAAAUCUGGCUCUUUCAGGGUCCGAGUUGUAAUUUGUAGAAGAUGCUUUGGGAGUGGCUCCGGUUUAAGUUCCUUGGAAUAUUACAUCACAGAGGGUGAGAAUCCCGUAUGUGACCGGUCGCCUCGCCCGUGUAAAGCUCUUUCGACGAGUCGAGUUGUUUGGGAAUGCAGCUCUAAAUGGGUGGUAUAUUUCAUCUAAAGCUAAAUAUUGGCCAGAGACCGAUAGCGCACAAGUAGAGUGAUCGAAAGAUGAAAAGCACUUUGGAAAGAGAGUGAAACAGUACGUGAAAUUGUUGAAAGGGAAGCGCUUGCAACCAGACUUGGGCGCCGUUGAUCAACUGGUGUUCUCACCAGGGCACUCGGCGGCGUACAGGCCAGCAUCGGUUCUGGUGGUUGGAUAAAGGCCUUGGGAAUGUGGCUCCUCUCGGGGAGUGUUAUAGCCCUCGGUGCAAUGCAGCCUACCGGGACCGAGGACCGCGCUUCGGCUAGGAUGCUGGCGUAAUGGUUGUAAGCGUCCCGUCUUGAAACACGGACCAAGGAGUCUAACAUCUAUGCGAGUGUUUGGGUGCCAAACCCAUACGCGUAAUGAAAGUGAACGUAGGUGAGAACCCGCAAGGGCGCAUCAUCGACCGGUCCGGACGUCUUCUGAUGGAUCUGAGUAAGAGCAUAGCUGUUGGGACCCGAAAGAUGGUGAACUAUGCGUGAAUAGGGUGAAGCCAGGGGAAACCCUGGUGGAGGCUCGCAGCGGUUCUGACGUGCAAAUCGAUCGUCAAAUUUGCGCAUAGGGGCGAAAGACUUAUCGAACCAUCUAGUAGC
rnacentral:rRNA from 1 species